rnacentral:rRNA from 1 species
UGGGGAAUUUUGGACAAUGGGGGAAACCCUGAUCCAGCCAUCCCGCGUGUGCGAUGAGGCCUUCGGGUUGUAAAGCACUUUUGGCAGGAAAGAAACGUCGCGGGUUAAUACCCCGCGAAACUGACGGUACCUGCAGAAUAAGCACCGGCUAACUACGUGCCAGCAGCCGCGGUAAUACGUAGGGUGCAAGCGUUAAUCGGAAUUACUGGGCGUAAAGCGUGCGCAGGCGGUUCGGAAAGAAAGAUGUGAAAUCCCAGAGCUUAACUUUGGAACUGCAUUUUUAACUACCGGGCUAGAGUGUGUCAGAGGGAGGUGGAAUUCCGCGUGUAGCAGUGAAAUGCGUAGAUAUGCGGAGGAACACCGAUGGCGAAGGCAGCCUCCUGGGAUAACACUGACGCUCAUGCACGAAAGCGUGGGGAGCAAACAGGAUUAGAUACCCUGGUAGUCCACGCCCUAAACGAUGUCAACUAGCUGUUGGGGCCUUCGGGCCUUGGUAGCGCAGCUAACGCGUGAAGUUGACCGCCUGGGGAGU